GGCGGGUCCCUGGCUCGGCUCUACCCCCAUGGAUCUAGGUGGGCUCAAUGUCAUCACAAGGGUGCUUAAGAGGGAAAGAGGAAGCCAUGAGGGUCAGAGUCAAAGGAAGACUUGAAGAUACUACACUGCGGACUUUAAAGAUGAAGGAAGGGGCGAAAACCAAGAAUGUGGGAAGCCUCUAGAAGCUAGAGAAGGCAAGGAAACAAAUUUUCCACUAGAGCCUCCAGAAGGAACACAGCCCUGCUGACCCACUGUAAUGUCUGACCUCUAGAUGUGUAAGGGUAGUAAGACUGAAAGUCUCAGAAAGGCACUGUUAAAUUCUUAUUCCUCAACUAUGCAACUCAAAACUGGGGUCCUCAGCAGUGAGCGAGGGGUGAGAGAAGACACUGUAUAAACAUGGCACAUCCUCCUGGAAAGUCAACUUUACUCAAAGGUUCUUACACACAGUGACAGCUAGCAGAGUCUAAAAUGCUGACAUUAUGACUUAGAGAUGUGAUAAAGAGAAACAUCUAUUGCAUUUUCUUGGCUCGUGUGGAAUGACUUAUCCUGGAAUUUAGAGUUGAAGAUAAUCCUGAUGCUUCAAAGAGAAGAGUUGGAACACAGUCCUUUUUUCUAAACAGAGGAAUUGUUGAAUAUGCGACUGAACCUCUGACUUAACUAAUUAGUUAAUUUGGAGCAGAGUUUGAACACAGUCCUUUUUCUAAACAGAGGAAUUGUUGAAUAUGCAACUGGUCCUCUGACUUAACUAAUUAUUUAAUUUGGAAGUUAUAGGUUUUUUAUUACUUGAGGAGCAGCUUUCUCUGAACAAAUACAGUGUCCCCUGGGGUGUCCAAAUUGUGACAGAAAAGUAGCGCCAGCUUGAAACUAGCUAGUCAUCACAUAGUGGCAUCAUGUGAAUGAAGAAUCCCCCAAAUCUGUGACCCUCUUCUAUCCUUAUGAACUAAUUCAAUAAAUAAAUGAGCACUUUCUCAGUUCCCAAACUGAGAGCAGUUUAAAAAAAUAAUGAGAGCACAGAUAUCUAUUUAGAGAGAUGGCGAGAUAGAGGAGAGAGCAAGUUGCACACCACGAAACAAAGGGAAAGAUAAGAAGAGAGAGUGUGUCACUACUUCCCCGUGGCAGAAUCACAAUCUUUUUUGGAUGUCAUGUUGAAAAGAUUCCCAAUUCGUAGUUCUGUGAGCUAAAGCAGAUGGAUGCUCCAUGUUGGUACAAAUUCCUAUUUGAAGCAGUGUGGUUGCAAAGAUGGGGUUUGGGUCAUUUGAUUUUCUCCGAAAAACAAUCUUGUGUAACUGUUAAAAGAAUUUAUAAUACCCAAUGCAAUGUAUCAUCCGUGAUGCUUCUUCAAAAAUGUUAAAUAAAUGCUGAAACCAGUGUUUCAAA
rnacentral:lncRNA from 1 species